rnacentral:rRNA from 1 species
UACAGAGGUCCCAAGCGUUGUUCGGAUUCACUGGGCGUAAAGGGUGCGUAGGCGGUCGGGUAAGUCUGAUGUGAAAUCUCACAGCUUAACUGUGAAACUGCAUUGGAUACUAUCCGGCUCGAGGAAUGGAGGGGAGACUGGAAUACUUGGUGUAGCAGUGAAAUGCGUAGAUAUCAAGUGGAACACCAGUGGCGAAGGCGAGUCUCUGGGCCGUAACUGACGCUGAGGAGCGAAAGCAUGGGGAGCGAACAGG